rnacentral:rRNA from 1 species
GGGCCCGCACAAGUGGUGGAGCAUGUGGUUUAAUUCGAUGCAACGCGAAGAACCUUACCAACCCUUGAAAUCUAGCGAAGUUCACAGAGAUGAGAAUGUGCCUUCGGGAACGCUAUGACAGGUGUUGCAUGGCUGUCGUCAGCUCGUGUCGUGAGAUGUAUGGUUAAGUCCAGUAACGAGCGCAACCCCUAUCCUUAUUUGCCAGCGCGUUAAGGCGGGAACUAUAGGGAGACUGCCGGGUGAAACCCGGAGGAAGGCGGGGACGAGGUCAAGUCAUCAUGGCCCUUAUGGGUUGGGCUACACACGUGCUACAAUGGGAAGUACAGAGGGAUGCGAAAGCGCGAGCUGGAGCCAAACCCAAAAAGUGCGUCGUAGUCCGGAUCGGAGUCUGCAACUCGACUCCGUGAAGUCGGAAUCGCUAGUAAUCG